rnacentral:rRNA from 1 species
GCCUACGGGAGGCAGCAGUAGGGAAUCUUCCACAAUGGGCGAAAGCCUGAUGCAGCGACGCCGCGUGGGUGAAGAAGCGCCUCGGCGCGUAAGGCCCUGUCAGCAGGGAAGAAAAUGACGGUACCUGAAGAAGAAGCCCCGGCUAACUACGUGCCAGCAGCCGCGGUAAUACGUAGGGGGCAAGCGUUAUCCGGAUUUACUGGGUGUAAAGGGGGCGCAGACGGCGAUGCAAGCCAGGAGUGAAAGCCCGGGGCCCAACCCCGGGACUGCUCUUGGAACUGCGUGGCUGGAGUGCAGGAGGGGCG